GUAAUGGAUGUUUAAGGACAAAAGCUGGCAUCUUUAUAUAUAUGUACAUACACAAACACACUGUAUUUUGGGGUUUUUGUUUGUUUGUUUCCUCCUGUUUGCUGCUAGUUGACUGGAACAAAAGUGGAGUGGUAGGGGUUAAAAAUCUUUACCAGUUUUGCAGUUUUUUUUUUCCUUCGAUUAAAGAAAGAAACACUAAUAAAAUCUUGUUUGGAAUAUGUCUAAAAAUAAGAAAAUCCAGACAAAAUUCCAUCUUUUGGAAAAAAUCAACCAUAGGAUAAGAGAGUAUAUUUUGUAAGAGACUAUUUUUAUAUAAAUAUUUUAUUUAUACUACGUCUGCUUGUUUAACCUGUACUUUUUCUCAAAACAGGCAUACAAUUUGUAAUUCUUAGGCUAUUUAAGAGAGAAAGGGUAAUUAGUUUGUGAACACAACAGCAGCAAGCUGGAUGCAUUCAGCUGCAAUUGGUGGAUGUGUCAGAAAGCAGGAUGAACUUUCUCUCCUGGCUCUUUUCCUGCAGCUUAGUUUGCAGAAUAUGCAAAACAAGAACAGGGUAUGUAGCAUCAAUUUUGUCACAUGGCUUGAAUUCAUUAUUGGUAUUAACUGGAUGCUCAUUUAUCCCAUUCAAGAAAAAAAAAUCCGAAUUAGCUUCCCACAUGCGUCAGUCAUUAAACUGUGGCGUUAUGACUCGCAAAUGUGCUGUGUGUGCUGUCAGUUAAACCUCUACUUUGUGCUGCUGUCAAAUCUGAUUCCCAUCAGGGUAAGACUGUAGACUGUGACUGUAAUAACUUGCAUGACACACAUCGUCUGAUUCUCAUAGAUAGGAUACAAAGCUUACUUUUUGUCCAGCUCCUUUUCCCAAAAGGCCAGAGCCCAAAAAUACCAAAAAACAUUGGACAAGUUUAAAGAGGCAAAUUUAAAGACUACUCACUUGUUUUUCAGAGCCCAAGUAAGCUGUUUUGCAUUCCCUUUGUGGUAUUUCCUUUUUAUCACUGCUGAUUUCUUCAUACAUUUGAGUGGUAAAUAUUUCUCUGCAUUUAGAAUCGUUCUGUUCUUACUGCUUAACUCAUUUGUGGUUGAUAAAAAAACAUGUCUAAUUCUAAUGUUGUUUUUCACUGGGUAAGAAACGUGGCCCAGUGUUACAGAUAGUAUUGCACAUUGUCUGGGACAGAUCAGGUUCUCUCCUCCUUCCAGGCUGCAGGAUCUCCCCAGUUAAUGAGGCAUCAGUGAUGGGAAUGUGUCACUCACUCCCUGACAGCAGCAAGUGCCACCAGGGGUAGGUGAGACAGCUCUGUCCUGUGUGGACUGAUCCUGCUCAGGCAAAACUCCCACCCAGCACUGUGAAAACAGAGAAUUUCUGAGAAGGGAAACAGAAGCAUCAUAAAAGAUGCUGCAAAGUUUGACAACCUAUCUGUUAGGACUCAUGUUUUAAAUUAAUCCUUUUAUAUAUAUUAUUUAGGAACACAAGCCCAUGCAGUACCUAAUCCUAGCAAUGUAUAUCAGGGGUUAAUGCACAGUUGCUUUGCAGACCUGCCACUUAACACAAAAUAGAAUUUUUAUUCAAUUCAGGCACCAGAAUGGGGUAUCAAAAUAAAGUUAUUAAUGUAAUUUACUUUCAGUCUUAUGACUUGUCAAUUUUCAUUGAGUCAUUGAUCUUAGUCCUCCUCAAUUCCACACAACUAUAUUUAAAAUGCAACCACAUACAGCAGGGAUGCUCAUUAAAAAUCUGUAUCAUGGUUAAAUAAUUCAGAUCUAACAUUUAAUUUUGGAAUCUCCCCCCCUCCCACCAGUUUGUACUGGGCUUUGAUUUAGUGAAUACCAUAUCAUAGUUAAAACUGUGUUUUCCUCACUAAUAAGAAUUACUUUACAAACUAUUACUUUUGCAGCAUGUUUUUACCAUAGGAAAGUAAUCUGUAAAACUCCUGCUUCCUGUAAAUUUCCAUAUGCAGUGAUGUGCCAUGUACAGCUAGCUGAAUUAUUAUUGAAAGACAAAUAUCUUUAAACAGUUUUACUCACAAUAAUAAAAAACUGGAUGC
ensembl:lncRNA